GCGAGUCUGAAUAGGGCGUUGUCCCGACUUGUCGGGACGGGUCGCACGGAUUAGACCCGAAGCUGGGUGAGCUAUCCAUGACCAGGAUGAAACCUCGAUAAACUCGAGGUGAAGGUCCGAACUGGUGAGCGUUACAAAGCUCUCAGAUGAGUUGUGGAUAGAGGUGAUAUGCCAAACGAACCCAGGGAUAGCUGGUACUCCCCGAAAUGUAUUUAGGUACAGCCUCAGAUGUUCGCUAAUGGAGGUAGGGCUCUGGAUGGAUUCGGGAGAUAACACCUUACCAACUCCAACUAAACCACAAAUGCCAUUAGCCAAAAUCUGGGAGUGAGACUGUGGGGGAUAAGCUUCAUAGUCGAGAGGGAAACAGCCCAGACCAUCAGCUAAGGUCCCCAAGCGCUAACUAAGUGGAAAAGGAAGUAGUGUUGCAUAGACAGCCAGGAGGUUGGCUCAGAAGCAGCCAUCCUUAAAAGAGUGCGUAAGAGCUCACUGGUUGAGUGGUGCUGCGCCGAAAACCUAACGGGGCUCAAGUUAGCCACCGAAGCUAUGGCUCCGAUGCAAAUCGGAGGGUAGGGGAGCGUUCUCUCAGCAGUGAAGUUCUUCCGUGAGGAAGGAUGGAGCUCAGAGAAGUGAGAAUGCCGGCAUGAGUAGCGCGAGGCGUGUGAAAAACACGCCCACCGGAAACCUAAGGUUUCCUAUGCAAGGUUAAUCCGCAUAGGGUUAGUCGGGCCUAAGCCGAGGCCGGAAGGCGUAGGCGAUGGACAACGGGUUAUUAUUCCCGUACCGUUUCCAUGGAGGCAAAGGGAGAACACGGGAGGGUAGGCUAAGCAUACCCAUCGGACAUGGUGUGUUCUUCAUCAAAGGUGAUGCUGGGGCAGGAAAAUCCACUCCAGAUAUUAUAGCUGAAGAUGAGGAGAAGCUGAGGGGAGACUCAAGGCAACCUAGCCGAACCCAUGCCGUCAAGAAAAGUCUCGUUGCCAUUGAAGUGGGAGCGCCCGUACCGCAAACCGACUCUGGUAGGUUAGGAUAAAAGUCCUAAGGUGUUCGAGUAAUCCCUCGUUAAGGAACUCGGCAAUCUAACCCCGUAACUUCGGAAUAAGGGGUGCCCCGAUUAUGUCGGGGUGACAUUAAAUUGGCCCAAGCAACUGUUUAACAAAAACAUAGGUCUCUGCUAAAGCGUAAGCUGAAAUAUAGAGGCCGAUACCUGCCCAGUGCUGGAAGGUUAAGGGGAGAAGUCAUUCCGAGCAAUCGGGAGAAGCCUUGAACUGAAGCCCCAGUGAACGGCGGCCGUAACUAUAACGGUCCUAAGGUAGCGAAGUCCCUUGUCGGGUAAGUUCCGACCCGCACGAAUGGUGUAAUGACUUGGGCGCUGUCUCAACGAGGGGCUCGGCGAAAUUGAAAUACCCGUGCAGAUACAGGUUACCCGCGACAGGACAAAAAGACCCCGUGGAGCUUUACUAUAGCUUGGCACUGAGUCUGGGCUUUCCUUGUGUAGGAUAGGUGGGAGGCUUUGAAGCCCCGACGCUAGUCGGAGUGGAGCCAACGUUGAAAUACCACCCUUGGUAAGUUUAGCCUCUAACCCCAGAACAAGCUGGGGGACCGUGUCUGGUGGGUAGUUUGACUGGGGCGGUCGCCUCCCAAACAGUAACGGAGGCGCCCAAAGGUCCCCUCAGAGUGUAUGGAAAUCACUCAGUGAGCGCAUUGGCAUAAGGGGGCUUGACUGUAAGACUCACAAGUCGAGCAGGGACGAAAGUCGGGCAAAGUGAUCCUACGGCACCGUGUGGAAGGGCCGUAGCUCAACGGAUAAAAGCUACCCCGGGGAUAACAGGCUUAUCUUGCCCAAGAGUUCACAUCGACGGCAAGGUUUGGCACCUCGAUGUCGGCUCGUCGCAUCCUGGGGCUGAAGCAGGUCCCAAGGGUCCGGCUGUUCGCCGGUUAAAGCGGCACGCGAGCUGGGUUCAGACCGUCGUGAGACAGGUCGGUCUCUAUCCGUCGUGGGCGUCCGGAGAUUUGAGGGGAGCUCUCUCCAGUACGAGAGGGCCGAGAGGGACAGACCUCUGGUGUUCCAGUUGUUCCGCCAGGGGCAUUGCUGGGUAGCUAUGUCUGGUCAGGAUAAGCGCUGAAAGCAUCUAAGUGCGAAGCCUACCCCAAGAUAAUAUCUCCCAUCCCGACUUCGGUCGGGAGUAAGGCCACAAGUAGACUACUUGCUAUAUAGGCCGCAGGUGUAAGCGCAGUAAUGCGUUCAGCUGAGCGGUACUAAUGGCCGAGGGCUUGGCCUG
rnacentral:rRNA from 1 species